rnacentral:misc_RNA from 1 species
GUGAAUCAUCGAAUCUUUGAACGCACAUUGCGCCCUCUGGUAUUCCGGAGGGCAUGCCUGUUCGAGCGUCAUUACAACCCUCAAGCUCUGCUUGGUAUUGGGCGUCACCAGUUCUGGUGUGCUCUAAAAUCAGUGGCGGUGCCAUCUGGCUCUAAGCGUAGUACAUCUCUCGCUAUGGGUGCCCGGUGGAUGCUUGCCAACAACCCCCAAUUUUUCAGGUUGACCUCGGAUCAGGUAGGGAUACCCGCUGAACUUAAGCAUAUCAAUAAGCGGAGGA